UACGUAGGCAGCGAGCGUUGUUCGGAAUUACUGGGCGUAAAGAGUGUGUAGGCGGUGUUCCCAGUCUGUUGUGAAAUCUCCCGGCUUAACUGGGAGGGUGCAGCGGAAACUAGAAUGCUAGAGGGUGGGAGAGGUAAGCGGAAUACCUGGUGUAGAGGUGAAAUUCGUAGAUAUCAGGUGGAACACCAGUGGCGAAGGCGGCUUUCUGGACGGUAACUGACGCUGAGACGCGAAAGCGUGGGGAGCAAACAGG
rnacentral:rRNA from 1 species